UUUCUGGGUCAUAGCCAAACAGGAAAAAAUGCUGUGCUUUUAUUCUUUCCUGCAAAUCUAUACAUGUUUAACCCCGCCACAUUAUUUAUGUAUGUGGCUGUUCCCAAGUCAGGAGCCUGUCAUUCAGCGGUUGUCGUUUGUUUGUGUGUUACAUAUUUGUUUUUCGUUCAUUUUUUUAUUUAAAUAAGGCCGUUAGUUUUCU
rnacentral:lncRNA from 1 species